GAUGAACGCUGGCGGCGUGCCUAAUACAUGCAAGUCGAGCGAACAGAUGAGGAGCUUGCUCCUCUGACGUUAGCGGCGGACGGGUGAGUAACACGUGGAUAACCUACCUAUAAGACUGGGAUAACUUCGGGAAGCCGGAGCUAAUACCGGAUAAUAUAUUGAACCGCAUGGUUCAAUAGUGAAAGACGGUUUUGCUGUCACUUAUAGAUGGAUCCGCGCCGCAUUAGCUAGUUGGUAAGGUAACGGCUUACCAAGGCAACGAUGCGUAGCCGACCUGAGAGGGUGAUCGGCCACACUGGAACUGAGACACGGUCCAGACUCCUACGGGAGGCAGCAGUAGGGAAUCUUCCGCAAUGGGCGAAAGCCUGACGGAGCAACGCCGCGUGAGUGAUGAAGGUCUUCGGAUCGUAAAACUCUGUUAUUGGGGAAGAACAAAUGUGUAAGUAACUAUGCACGUCUUGACGGUACCUAAUCAGAAAGCCACGGCUAACUACGUG
rnacentral:rRNA from 1 species